rnacentral:lncRNA from 1 species
GCUCAGCCUCCUCAUAUCGGAUCUGGUUUUCAAUUUCUCAAAAUCAACCCGCAAAGUCCUAGAUCCCUGAAACUUCAAAUGGUUGAAGAACGCUAUCUCGCUGUUCAAUUUGGCCAAGACUGAAGUAGUUUAUUCUCGAUUCGUUGGUUUCCCUUUCCAUCAUUCCUGAUGUUGCAAAGGAAAAACCGUCGCUGCUGCUUACGACGCGCCACGCCACGCCACCGGCAUCGCUUGUUUCACCUUUUCCUUUUUUUGUGGUUUUCGAAUGGGUUUCUCAACAGAGGACUAUGGUUUUUUUUUUUUUUGUGACAGUUUAGGUUCUGGUGAGUGUGGUGAUUGUGUUUCUCAGUUUCUUAGAAGCUAAUUGAUUCUUAUGGGUUACUCUGUGCUUUUGUUUUGUAGGUUCGGGAUAUAGGAUUUGUGUUGUGGUAGUCCUUUUGGGGUAUGGAUGAUGAUGGUGCUGAUGGGCUUUGAUAGUUUCGGUGCUUGGUGAAAAUCUUAGCCGAACAGGCUUUGAUGGAAAAGCUGUGUAGAUGUUGGUGGUGGGAUUUAGAAGGUGCUGUAGGCUUAGAGUUUGUGGUGGCAGUGGGUUGCUUUUUUCAGUGGAGGCUUGUGGAGGUGGUGGCCACAGAAGUGUUUGAUAAAGGAAGCUGUGGUCGUUCUCCUCAAAAAUUUUCCCCCAGAAUUACUUCUAUCUCUAUUUUGCUCGAAUUAUACCCAAGCAGAAUUAAAAAACUCCAAAAGAACAAAAAUUUCACAAUAACCGAAGAUCUUUUUCAAUUCUAUUCCUUUUCCCUCCAUUCAUGUGCCGUGAUGAUGAGUUUAUACAAGGAUGGAAUGCCAGUAGUGACAGGAUUCUACAUUUGAAAAGGUUUUAUGUUAUUGAUCUGAAAUUUAAAUUCAAGAAGAGAAGGGUAUGAUUUUGCAUUUCAAAACUUCAUAACUAUCCGAUCAUACCUCUCCUUUCAAACUUUG